AGUCCAGCAGUUGUUGGGUCUAACAUUUCACGCUGGCCUCUUUCUUCUUAGACAGCCUACGCUGGCAUCCAGGGGCUAUCGCCUGUCAAAAUAGCAGCCAGACCAACAAUUGACAAAGCAUCCCUUGAGAGAGGCACAUUUGAGUUGUGACCUAGACUGCAGAAUCCCUUACCACUCUGGAAGUUAUACCAGUUCACUGCUCUUCUAUAUUUUGCAGUCACCCAGAA
rnacentral:lncRNA from 1 species